CUGAAGCUCAGUGGUAGAGCGUCUGCAUUUCACGCAGAAGGUCCCAGGUUCAGUCCAUUGACAGAUAGG